AAAGGAGAGGAGCAGCGGGAGGAGUUUGGAGUUUAGUUUCGGUUGGGGCCGGGGGGGGCCAGGCAGGGAACCCCAAGCUGGGGUCUAAGCUCCCUGAACCUCCCAGAGGGACCUAAUUGAGGGGGUCUGGUCGUACCGACACGCUCUGCUUGAGACUGUGUUCCUGUCCUUAAAUAAACCUUCUGCUUUACUGGCUGGCUGAGAGUCGCAGUGAAUCUCGGGAAGAGGGGUGCAGGGCCCUAACUCCCCCACAAUCCGCAACAACGCCCUAAUGAAGUAUGCUGCGCACGCCUAUGCUAAUACACCUUUCUCUUCUAGGACCUGGAGCCUGGCCCCCCUAUAACCUGUCUGUGCCCGAAGGCUCCUCUGGGUGUAUUAAAAUUAACAUAUCUGAGAAUUCAUCUCUUUUGUGUAAGAUGCAAACCGCCAUCACAGCCACCUCCGAUCACUCUGCUUGUGACCCCAUCCUGGCGUUAAUUAAUAAAGAAAUCCGGAACUACAACAGCACAUUCAAGGGACGGAUCUCUCUAUCAGACCAGCUUGUUACUGUGAAGAACGCAAGUAAAUGGAUGGCCGCGGAAUACCAAGUUCUUAGUUUCCUUCAUGGAACCUGCAUGGCUCGUAUCAAUCUGACAGUUCCUGAUUCUGUGCCUGCAGGUCCCGUAUCGGAGACCCCGUCUGCCAGAGAGGGGGCUGCCAAUCUGACUGGAGAGGGAAGUAGCCGAGGGACACUUUCCAACGGCUCUCCGGAUCGGGAGCCAGGAGGCCUCUAUGGUGUGUGGAUAUCGUUUGGGUUCAUCACUGCUUUGUUCGCUGCUGCUGCACUUUAUGUCCGCUGGAAACGUGUGAGAGAAGGACCAGGAACCCGUCGUGGUGGUGAAGAGGAAGGGAUCUCCGACUCGGCAGACUCCCCUGUUUGCGUGCUGGCUCGUGCCUCACAUCUGCACAAGGCUGGAACCCAAGACGGAGAGGCUGGUGAGGAGAUCCCACUGAACGGAGAGAUGGUACAGCCCCGGGAACUGAGCUGACGGCCCCAACGCAGCCGAGAGGCAGCACUUUAAUAGCGUUGAAUGGCCGAGGUGCGGGCGCCUCCUGUGUGUGCUGAACAGCUGCGAUCAUUGCACUAGCCUGGAUGUGACUUCUCCCCAUGUGAGGCUCUGGGUUGGGACACCUGGGUCUUCCACCAACCCCCUGUCUAUGGGUGAGUCACUCAGGGCCGAAGAUUCAAGAGCUCAGACUGAGAGUGGGGUGUUAAUCCGAAGGCUCAUGCAGCUGCCUAACUGGGAACUGAGCUACUCUGAAAAUCUGGCCUUCUUUCCCGUGCCUUAAUUUCCCAUCUUUAAAGUGAGACACUCCUCUGUGUAGAUUGUAAGCACUUUGGGGCAGGGACUGUGUGUGUGUGUGUGUGUGUGUGUGUGUGUGUGAUCACUAUGGGGCCCUGACUGGAGCUGUAGGCUCCCUUGUAAUAUUAAUAAUCAUAAGUAAGGCUACGAAUCUGACAUGGAGCUUACAGACGCUGUGAUUCUUUCUUUUAUGAGCCCUCCACAACUUCUGGUCGAUCCCAAUAAUUCAACCCCGGGCAGCAGGGUUUGGGCAUCCAUGAAUUAUUAUUUAUUGCCCGUGUCCUGUCCAGGAGUUUUCAUAAAAAUACCUGUGCCAAAAUCGUAGCCUUGAUCAUAAGUAAAUGUGAUUGGUUUUUUUAAUCUGUUUUUACUAUUGUAUUUAUCUCUGUGCCUGUCCCUUUUGUCUGUGACAAGAUUUCUGUUUAGACUAUAAGCUAUACAGCAGAGGAAGUGGGUCUCAUUUAUCUUUGCACAGGGGGGCACUGAUCUCUGCUGAAGACUUGGUGCAACUGCAAUACACACAAUAAAAUCACAGCUCUCUGAACUAUUUUUUUUUUU
rnacentral:lncRNA from 1 species